UACGGAGGGGGCGAGCGUUAUUCGGAAUUAUUGGGCGUAAAGGGCGCGUAGGCGGCGCGAUAAGUCAAAGGUGAAAUCCCUCGGCUCAACUGAGGAACUGCCUUUGAGACUGUCGUGCUCGAGGCCGGGAGGGGGUAGCGGAAUUCCCAGUGUAGCGGUGAAAUGCGUAGAUAUCUGGAGGAACACCGGUGGCGAAGGCGGCAUCCUGGACCAAUAUUGACGCUGAGGAGCGAAAGCCAGGGGAGCAAACGGG
rnacentral:rRNA from 1 species